CCUGCUGGCUCGCAGAGCAGCUCCGACUGCUUAGCUGUGUGCUGCAAGCUCAGUUCUGAGAAUCAGUAUUUACAUUCAGUAGAAGAAGCGGUCUGAUUAAUGGUGUCUACUCUUCAUGUGGAAUGUUGAUAGCAGUUUGGGGCAUUUCUGCCUUCAGUGUGCUUCAUGGAUCAAAGCUGCCUUUUGGUUAUUUCCUUUCUGGGACCCCAGAGAACCCGAUCCACAACGUCCUUCUGGACAGGGACGCUCCUUCCAAAUGAUCUUUCAAACACCUCUUUCCAUCUCAUCUCCCUCCCUGCAGGCCAAAGGUGUCGACUUGCUUGGUGAGGACUGUACAAAAGUGUUGCUUCUGAUGUUAUUCAAAAAGGCUCACUACAUGCCUACCUGUGUUCCGAGCUGGGAUGAAGGAAUCAUCACUGUUUACCCAACAAAUGUUUGUGGUAUAAUAAUCAAAUCAGGAUGAUUAGCAUAUUGAAGGAAAAUACUUUAGAGUGUUGAUGGGCUGGAGCUUUGAGGGGAAAGUUGGAGUUUUUUAUUUAUUUUUGCUAACUUCGUUGUUUAUGAUUUCUUUGUUUUGUUUUGUGUUUUUGGUACCGGGGAUCAAACACGGGACCUUGCGCUUGCAAGGCAGGCAGUGGAACCACGAGCUAAAUCCCCA
rnacentral:lncRNA from 1 species